GAUGAAGAACGUAGCGAAAUGCGAUAAGUAAUGUGAAUUGCAGAAUUCAGUGAAUCAUCGAAUCUUUGAACGCACAUUGCGCCCGCCAGUAUUCUGGCGGGCAUGCCUGUCUGAGCGUCAUUUCAACCCUCAGCCCCCGCUCGCGGGGCGCUGGCGUUGGGGAUCGGCCGUCCUCGCGGCGGCCGGCCCCGAAACACAGUGGCGGUCUCUCGCGGACUCCCCUGCGUAGUAGCACUACCUCGCAGAAGGGACGAGCGGGCUGACCACGCCGUAAAACCCCCCACUUCUCCAGGUUGACCUCAGAUCAGGUAGGAAUACCCGCUGAACUUAAGCAUACAAUAAGCGGAGGA
rnacentral:misc_RNA from 1 species